GACGAACGCUGGCGGCGCGCUUAACACAUGCAAGUCGAACGGAAAGGCCUGCUUUCCCUUGUGGAUUGCGGGUACUCGAGUGGCGAACGGGUGAGUAACACGUGAGUGAUCUGCCCCCAACUUGGGUAUAAGCCUGGGAAACUGGGUCUAAUUCCCGAUAGGACUGCAGGGUGGUGCCUGUGGUGGAAAACGAUUUUCUAGUGGUUGGGGAUGAGCUCGCGGCCUAUCAGCUUGUUGGUGGGGUAAUGGCCUACCAAGGCGGCGACGGGUAGCCGGCCUGGGAGGGGGGACGGCCACAUUGGGACUGCGAGACGGCCCAGACUCCUACGGGAGGCAGCAGUGGGGAAUAUUGCACAAUGGGCGGAAGCCUGAGGCAGCGACGCCGCGUGGGGGAUGACGGCCUUCGGGUUGUAAACUCCUUUCGACCGCGAGGAAGCCACCUGGUUGGAAGGGUGGUGACGGCAGUGGUAGAAGAAGCACCGGCUAACUACGUG
rnacentral:rRNA from 1 species